UUCAACCGUUGCCGUUAUAUC
rnacentral:piRNA from 1 species